GUGGGGAAUAUUGGACAAUGGGCGAAAGCCUGAUCCAGCCAUGCCGCGUGUGUGAAGAAGGUCUUCGGAUUGUAAAGCACUUUAAGUUGGGAGGAAGGGCAGUAAGUUAAUACCUUGCUGUUUUGACGUUACCGACAGAAUAAGCACCGGCUAACUUUGUGCCAGCAGCCGCGGUAAUACGAAGGGUGCAAGCGUUAAUCGGAAUUACUGGGCGUAAAGCGCGCGUAGGUGGUUUUGUAAGUUGGAGGUGAAAUCCCCGGGCUCAACCUGGGAACUGCCUCCAAAACUGCAUGACUAGAGUACGGUAGAGGGUAGUGGAAUUUCCUGUGUAGCGGUGAAAUGCGUAGAUAUAGGAAGGAACACCAGUGGCGAAGGCGACUACCUGGACUGAUACUGACACUGAGGUGCGAAAGCGUGGGGAGCAAACAGGAUUAGAAACCCGGGUAGUCC
rnacentral:rRNA from 1 species